rnacentral:rRNA from 1 species
CCUACGGGGGGCAGCAGUGGGGAAUAUUGGACAAUGGGGGGAACCCUGAUCCAGCCAUGCCGCGUGUGUGAAGAAGGCCUUCGGGUUGUAAAGCACUUUCAGCGGGGAGGAAGGCGGUGAGGUUAAUAACCUCAUCGAUUGACGUUACCCGCAGAAGAAGCACCGGCUAACUCCGUGCCAGCAGCCGCGGUAAUACGGAGGGUGCAAGCGUUAAUCGGAAUUACUGGGCGUAAAGCGCACGCAGGCGGUCUGUCAAGUCGGAUGUGAAAUCCCCGGGCUCAACCUGGGAACUGCAUUCGAAACUGGCAGGCUAGAGUCUUGUAGAGGGGGGUAGAAUUCCAGGUGUAGCGGUGAAAUGCGUAGAGAUCUGGAGGAAUACCGGUGGCGAAGGCGGCCCCCUGGACAAAGACUGACGCUCAGGUGCGAAAGCGUGGGGAGCAAACAGGAUUAGAUACCCCUGUAGUC